AGAGUUUGAUCCUGGCUCAGGAUGAACGCUGGCGGCGUGCUUAACACAUGCAAGUCGAACGAGCCUUCGGGCUAGUGGCGGACGGGUGAGUAACGCGUGAGAAUCUGCCCUCAGGAGGGGGAUAACGGCUGGAAACGGCCGCUAAUACCCCAUAUGCCGCGAGGUGAAAUGAGAAAUCGCCUGAGGAUGAGCUCGCGUCUGAUUAGCUAGUUGGUGGGGUAAGAGCCUACCAAGGCAUCGAUCAGUAGCUGGUCUGAGAGGAUGAUCAGCCACACUGGGACUGAGACACGGCCCAGACUCCUAUGGGAGGCAGCAGUGGGGAAUUUUCCGCAAUGGGCGCAAGCCUGACGGAGCAACGCCGCGUGAGGGAUGAAGGCCUCUGGGCUGUAAACCUCUUUUCUCAAGGAAGAAGAACUGACGGUACUUGAGGAAUAAGCCACGGCUAACUCCGUGCCAGCAGCCGCGGUAAUACGGGAGUGGCAAGCGUUAUCCGGAAUUAUUGGGCGUAAAGCGUCCGCAGGCGGUCUUGAAAGUCUGUUGUUAAAGCGUGGAGCUCAACUCCAUUUCAGCAAUGGAAACUAGAAGACUAGAGUGUGGUAGGGGCAGAGGGAAUUCCCGGUGUAGCGGUGAAAUGCGUAGAUAUCGGGAAGAACACCAGUGGCGAAGGCGCUCUGCUGGGCCAUAACUGACGCUCAUGGACGAAAGCCAGGGGAGCGAAAGGGAUUAGAUACCCCUGUAGUCCUGGCCGUAAACGAUGAACACUAGGUGUCGGGGGAAUCGACCCCCUCGGUGUCGUAGCCAACGCGUUAAGUGUUCCGCCUGGGGAGUACGCACGCAAGUGUGAAACUCAAAGGAAUUGACGGGGGCCCGCACAAGCGGUGGAGUAUGUGGUUUAAUUCGAUGCAACGCGAAGAACCUUACCAGGGUUUGACAUCCUGCGAAUCUUUUGGAACAGAAGAGUGCCUUCGGGAGCGCAGAGACAGGUGGUGCAUGGCUGUCGUCAGCUCGUGUCGUGAGAUGUUGGGUUAAGUCCCGCAACGAGCGCAACCCACGUCUUUAGUUGCCAGCAUUGAGUUGGGCACUCUAGAGAGACCGCCGGUGAUAAACCGGAGGAAGGUGUGGAUGACGUUAAGUCAUCAUGCCCCUUACAUCCUGGGCUACACACGUACUACAAUGCUACGGACAGAGGGCAGCAAACUCGCGAGAGCUAGCAAAUCCCAUAAACCGUGGCUCAGUUCAGAUCGUAGGCUGCAACUCGCCUACGUGAA
rnacentral:rRNA from 1 species